GCCGAAACGUGUCGCACUAUAAAUACUGAACGAAAUUUCUGCUAUGUCUCACUUUCAUGGCCUUUGCCAGAGGAAAGGACAGUCGUUGGAACCAAAAGGAUUUUUUCCCUUCGCGGCCUUCUAGUAAAGCAAUGGCCUCGACCACGCUAUACGCUCGUGCUGUCCAGAACGCAGUGUCGUGAACAGUUUCAUGGGCGUCCCUGGAGCCCAUCGAAUUAUGAACCCGAUCAAGUUGUGGCCAGGUGAUUGGACCUGCUCAGAAGUAUGUCGGCAAACGGCAAGUCUCUGACCACCUCCUCCAGGUGUGAAGACAUGGCUAUUUUGAGGACAUUCAGGAAGUCCCCUGCAGGAAGGCUAACUUUGCAAAUGUAUGUUGGAGAAGUUUCUUGAGAAGAUAUGAGCUUGCAUAACCAGCAGAGGGUGCUGCUUACUUCCAGCGGCUGUGGAUUUGUCCUGAGGAUCUGGAGGUUGUAAAUUGUACAAUGUGUUGCUAAUUUGUGUCCUUCCUGGGAUCUGGGCUUCUUGACUACAGAAAGGUUUUUUUUCACCCCAUUCCCUGAUUCCUCACUUGGAUGGACCAGCUGCAAACCAGAAGGCCAGUCAUAGCCACUUGUGCCAUUUCUGCCCUUCCCACACUCUUACCCAGUUCUGAUUUACACAAUCAUGGUAUAUGGCAACAUCUGCCCACUGUGAACCCUUUCAGUAUGUUAAGGGAUGUCUGCAAAAAUCUUGAUUGUUUGCACAUUUAGUCUUUUUGAUGAGGCAGCAUGGGAUCCAGUGGCUUACUAAGUCUAACAUGAUGGCUUGCAAGUAUAUAUGAAUGAUUAGUUGUCGAAUAAAGGAUCAUUUGGAGGGAAAGUACAAUUUUAAGAGUGCUUUCUUUUUAUUCAUUAAUCUUGUAUUGUAAUGUAGGAGAAACCCAGAGUGGGUGGGCUGUUUAUCAUUUGAAAUUAAACUCAUUCAUCUGUGUUAUGAUUCUUGACUUGA